rnacentral:rRNA from 1 species
UACGUAGGGUGCGAGCGUUAAUCGGAAUUACUGGGCGUAAAGCGUGCGCAGGCGGUUAUAUAAGACAGUUGUGAAAUCCCCGGGCUCACCUGGGAAUUGCAUCUGUGACUGUAUAGCUAGAGUACGGUAGAGGGGGAUGGAAUUCCGCGUGUAGCAGUGAAAUGCGUAGAUAUGCGGAGGAACACCGAUGGCGAAGGCAAUCCCCUGGACCUGUACUGACGCUCAUGCACGAAAGCGUGGGAGCAAACAGG